GACGAACCGUGCGAACGUUGUUCGGAAUCACUGGGCUUAAAGGGCGCGUAGGCGGUUUGCCAAGUCAGGGGUGAAAUCCUGCAGCUCAACUGUAGAAGUGCCUCUGAUACUGGCGAACUCGAGGGAGGUAGGGGUGGGUGGAACUUAUGGUGGAGCGGUGAAAUGCGUUGAUAUCAUAAGGAACGCCGGUGGCGAAAGCGACCCACUGGAUCUCUUCUGACGCUGAGGCGCGAAAGCUAGGGGAGCAAACGGG
rnacentral:rRNA from 1 species